rnacentral:rRNA from 1 species
UACGUAGGGUGCGAGCGUUAAUCGGAAUUACUGGGCGUAAAGCGUGCGCAGGCGGUUUUGUAAGCCAGAUGUGAAAUCCCCGGGCUUAACCUGGGAACUGCGUCGGAUACUGGUUGGCUUGAAUUCGGGAGAGGGAUGCAGAAUUCCAGGUGUAGCGGUGAAAUGCGUAGAUAUCUGGAGGAAUACCGGUGGCGAAGGCGGCAUCCUGGACCGACAUUGACGCUGAACGGCGAAAGCUAGGGGAGCAAACGGG